rnacentral:rRNA from 1 species
CCUACGUGUGGCUGCAGUGGGGAAUAUUGGACAAUGAGGGGCACCCUGAUCCAGCGACGCCGCGUGAGUUAAGAAGUAUUUCGGUAUGUAAAGCUCUAUCAGCAGGGACGAAAAUGACGGUACCUGACUAAUAAGCCCCGGCUAACUACGUGCCAGCAGCCGCGGUAAGACGUAGGGGGCCAGCGUUAUCCGGAUUGACUGGGUGUAAAGUGAGCGUAGACGGUGCAGCAAGUCUGAUGUGAAAGGUCGGGGGCCAACCCCGGGACUGCAUUGGACACUGUGGAACUGGAGUACAGGAGGGGUAAGCGGAAUUCCUAGUGUAGCGGUGAAAUGCGUAGAUAUUAGGAGGAACACCAGUGGCGAAGGCGGCUUACUGGACUGUAACUGACGUUGAGGCUCGAAAGCGUGGGGAGCAAACAGGAUUAGAGACCCGUGUAGUC